rnacentral:rRNA from 1 species
CGGGAAGAAUAAGUAGGGGACAAUACCCCCUAUGAUGACGGUACCGUUUGUAAGCUCCGGCUAACUCCGUGCCAGCAGCCGCGGUAAUACGGGGGGAGCAAGCGUUGUUCGGAUUUACUGGGCGUAAAGGGCGCGUAGGCGGUCAGCACAAGUCAGUUGUGAAAUCUCCGAGCUUAACUCGGAAAGGUCAACUGAUACUGUGCGACUAGAGUGCGGAAGGGGCAACUGGAAUUCUUGGUGUAGCGGUGAAAUGCGUAGAUAUCAAGAGGAACACCUGCGGCGAAGGCGGGUUGCUGGGCCGACACUGACGCUGAGGCGCGAAAGCCAGGGGAGCGAACGGGAUUAGAUACCCCGGUAGUCCUGGCCUUAAACGAUGAAUGCUUGGUGUCUGGGGUUAUAAAGUCCCCGGGUGCCGUCGCUAACGCUUUAAGCAUUCCGCCUGGGGAGUACGG